CCCGGCUCGGUCCCCACCGACCGCCGCAAAAUCCCGGCGAAAAGCCGUCACCAGACAGCAAAAUACACAAGGCGCCAAAACCCUCACCAUAACCGCCCAGCCGGCCGCCCCGAACACGCAUCCCCGUACGGCGUCUCCCCGCACUCAGUGGCCGUCUCGGGCUCCCGUCGAUUCACUUUGCUCCCAACCGCUCUUUUUUCUACUCCACUGUGUGCGCCUUUGCCUCUUUGCGCUCUCACCUGCCCGCCCGUCCCGCCUGCCUCGCCGCAAGCGCCAAGCGCACGCGCUCGGCUCGCCGCGUCGGGUCGCCGCAGGGCGAACGAAACCCUAGGAUCAGGGAGGCUCCGGGCAUCGCUGCUCGACCCCCAUGACGUCCUGCGGGUGUCUGAUGCUCGAGAAGGUGGAGGGCGACGCGUCGGCGAAGACGAGGGUGAAGGCCGCGCCGGGCGCCGGUGCCGGCGCCUGGUGCGGCUCGUGCGCUGGGGACUGGCGGGGCCGGUCAGAGGCCAUCUUCCCCAUCUACGUGAUGGGGAGCUCGCGGGAGAGCACCGUGGCGGCGGCGCGCGGCAUAGUCGACUCCCCCGAGGACCCCAUAUGGGUUGCCGUCAAGGCGGAGGCCAAGUCUGAGGCAGAAAAGGAACCUAUUUUGAGUAGCUUCUUGUAUGCCAGUGUGCUGUCUCAUGAUUGCCUAGAGCGUGCAUUGAGCUUCGUCCUUGCAAAUAGGCUUGAAGAUCCAACAUUGCUUGCUACUCAGCUAAUCGAUAUUUUUAACGAUGUCAUGCUGAAUAACAAAGAUAUAUGCCGCUCCAUUCGCCUUGAUGCUCAGGCUUUCAAAGAUAGAGAUCCAGCUUGUGCCCAAUAUAGUUGGGCACUGUUAUACUUAAAGGGCUACCAAUCGUUGCAAUCAUACAGGAUAGCCAAUAUAUUAUGGAACCAGGGACGCAAAGUUUUGGCAUUGGCACUGCAAAGCCGUAUUAGUGAGGUCUUUGCUGUGGAUAUACAUCCAGCUGCCAAAAUUGGCGAGGGAAUAUUGUUGGAUCAUGGAACAGGUCUAGUCAUUGGUGAAACUGCUGUAGUUGGAAACUGGGUUUCAUUAAUGCAGGGGGCAAACCCAGUGCUUGAGGCUCCCACAUGGGUGGGGUUUGGGGAAGGGAUAAACCGAGACAAGCUUUUCCCCGCAAAUGCGGAGAGGCUACUUUGAACCCGCGACCUGGUGACUCAGUGAGAUAGCUCUCACCACUGCACCGGGCUUGCCCUUCUAUGUUUCAUUAUUGAAGUCCAUAUUAAAUGCUGAGUGGUUUGUUGAAGGUGUUACACUUGGAGGUACAGGCAAGGAACAUGGAGAUAGGCACCCCAAGAUUGGUCAGGGAGCUCUAAUUGGAGCCAGUGCUACUAUCCUCGGCAAUAUUAAUGUAGGCGAAGGUGCCAUGAUUGCUGCUGGCUCCCUUGUUUUAAAGGACGUACCUCCCCACAGUAUGGCUGUAGGUAAUCCUGCAAAGGUAGUUGGUUAUACAGAGAAAGAAGAUCCUUCUUUAACUAUGAAACAUGAUGCAAGGAGAGAUUAUUUUGAGCAUGCUGCCAUCAGAUUGAGAUGAUUGAUACACCUAAUGACGAGUCUUCUUUCUAUUCGUCUGUGGAAUACUGUGGAGUAAAAAAAGUUCCAAAUCGCCUUAUUGGCAAGAAGUUUUGUGGAGUUAAAAAAAGGUUUCGUCGUCUUACUCGCAGGAAACCUUGUGAAGUUAAAAAAAAAAUGUUUGACGAAACGCAUACGGAUGCCAUUCCGGACAUUUCGUCACAGGCACAAGGCUGGAUAGUCGAUGAGCUCUGUGUUUCCCUUUCUGCCCAGACAACCAAAUGAAGAUGGAAAAGGGUCACCCAGGGCUCCAAAAUCUAGAGUGUAGACAAGCAUGUCCUUAAUGCGCCUUAAAUUGGUCUGGAUGGCACUUUUUUGUGAUAAACUAUCUAUCUAAACCAUUGACUAAUGUCUACUCUACUCUCAACAAGAUCAAUUAAUUGUAUAUUUGAUAUUAAAGUUGGAAUGUUUAGUAUGACAAAUUUAAUAUUUUAAAAUAGAUAUGCAUGAAAUUUGAUCUU